ensembl:lncRNA
CUCUCUCGCUCUCUGGCUCUCUCACUCUCUCUCUCUCUCUCUGGCUCUUUCGCUCUCUCUCUCUCUCGCUCUUUCGCUCUCUCGCUCUACCGGGGAGACUUCCAGAUACACACACACACACAGACGUUCAUGAAUAGAAAAAGAAAUACCGGUACAUGCACUUUUUCUGUACGCUUUCAUCCCCAGCAUCUGUGUACAGUCCUGUGAGGGCAGACGUUGUCGGCGGUUCAACCAGCUCCCAUCACCAUCUCUUAAGGCAGGAAGCAAGUUGCCUGCACCCAAUCUACCGGAAGAUUCUCAUCAAAGCAGAU